rnacentral:rRNA from 1 species
UUCUGGCUCAGGAUGAACGCUGGCGGCGUGCUUAACACAUGCAAGUUGUGCGGUGAUCUCAAGAAGUUUCGGACGGAAAGGGAGAGCAGCAGCGGACGGGUGAGUAAAGCACAAGGACUUGUCCCGAAGAGGGGGACAACUGUGGGAAACCACAGCUAAUACCCCAUAAGCCGAGAGGUGAAAGCAGUAAUGCGCUUUAGGAGAGACUUGUGUCCUAUCAGGUAGUUGGUGAGGUAACGGCUCACCAAGCCGAAGACGGGUAGCCGGACUGAGAGGUUGUACGGCCACAUUGGAACUGAGAGACGGUCCAGACUCCUACGGGAGGCAGCAGUGGGGAAUAUUGGGCAAUGGGGGCAACCCUGACCCAGCGACGCCGCGUGAGGGAAGACAGCCUUCGGGUUGUAAACCUCUGUUGCAGGGGAAGAAGAAAGUGACGGUACCCUGCGAGGAAGCUCCGGCAAACUACGUGCCAGCCGCCGC